GAUGAACGCUGGCGGCGUGCCUAAUACAUGCAAGUCGAGCGAACAGACGAGGAGCUUGCUCCUCUGACGUUAGCGGCGGACGGGUGAGUAACACGUGGAUAACCUACCUAUAAGACUGGGAUAACUUCGGGAAACCGGAGCUAAUACCGGAUAAUAUGUUGAACCGCAUGGUUCAACAGUGAAAGACGGUCUUGCUGUCACUUAUAGAUGGAUCCGCGCCGCAUUAGCUAGUUGGUAAGGUAACGGCUUACCAAGGCAACGAUGCGUAGCCGACCUGAGAGGGUGAUCGGCCACGCUGGAACUGAGACACGGUCCAGACGCCUACGGGAGGCAGCAGUAGGGAAUCUUCCGCAAUGGGCGAAAGCCUGACGGAGCAACGCCGGGUGAGUGAAGAAGGUCUUCGGAUCGUAAAACUCUGUUAUUAGGGAAGAACAAAUGUGUAAGUAACUAUGCACGUCUUGACGGUACCUAAUCAGAAAGCCAGGGCUAACUACGUG
rnacentral:rRNA from 1 species